GGCUUCCAGACACUUUUCAGAGGACCUUAGACUGUUGUUUGAAGACUGCAUGUCUUCUCCAGCCUGGGGACAACUUUGAAUCCCCAAAGGGUUAAAGCCGGCGAUUCUCACCUCGCUCAGGAAGGCUGGGAGAUUUCAGCGAUGCCGUUGCUGCUGCCCCUUCCUCUCAUCCUCCUCCCUCACAGCUGACCCUCAUUGGAAAUGGACAAACUGGGAUUUACAGAAACACGGCAGCUGCACAGUCAGGAGGAUGCACUAUGGCAGCAGAGGAGGAAUCAGGAGGUUUUUCACCCACAUGUAGGUGGAAUCUGUUGCUUCACCAAAAUGAAUUUUGAACCUGGAUGAAUCCUGCAGGCCAGUUCGUUACAAAAACCUCAUUACUGCAUUGUUUCCUGGUCUGCAAAACCGGCUUCCUCUUAUAAAAGUCAGCCGAUGCA